AUGAAAAAGAAAACCGCUAAUCGGCGAAAGGUGAUCAUUCAAGGUGGGCGAAGGUUGGGCUGUAAACCAAUCAAACGGUCAGCAAACACUUUGUGAACUGUUUGACGAGAAAUUCGCUUACGUUCGUUCGUUUUAUAAAUGAACGAACAUAAACAAAAAAUGUUAUUCGAUUAGUUAGAUCAACAAACAUGAACAUAGGUCUCCUUCGUUCAAUUGGGGGGGGGGGGGUAGUGCACGGUCCUCCCAACCGCCGGAGUGAUCUCACUCCGGGAGCCGCUACCCGACCAAGCUAGCUCCGCGGUGACAUCCCCAUGCCGAGUUCUUACCCUGGGCGACAUAUGCCACUCCCAAGACUCGAACCCGGUACCUCUGGGUGUUCGGUAACAUGUUCGUGAACAUUCAUUUAUCUUCGUUUGUUUAUGUUGAUCAUGAAAUUUUUGUACUUUUAUUUAUUUUAUCCAAACUUUGAAUAUUCUUUAACUUUAAUUUAUUUUAUUAUCCUAAAAUUAAAAUAAGAAGCCUUAUUUCCGAAAACCGUUCUAUGGCGUGAUGAUAACACAUGGUCUUAUUAGGCCUUGAGAUGUACUAGUUUAACUUCAUUGGUGUUAAAGAUGACAUGACAAGUUAAUAGGUUUUUCAAACCACUCCCUUCUAAUGUUAAGAGGUGUUAAAACCUCCCUUGGUUAACAUGUUAACUUAGGCAAAAAAGAAAAAAAAAAUUAAUGUUAUUUAUUAUCAAUGUCUAUUUUAGCGAACAAGUUAAUGAAAUGAUAUUAUUAUUUAUUUUGUAUUUAAUUUAAUUAUGUAAUAUAUUAAUAAUUAAAAAAAUGAUGGGUGAGGUAAAGCUAAAAAGGUUAAACCAUCUUCAUAGAAUGAUAUGAAGUAAAAAGAGAAAAAACAGGUAAUGUGACGCUUAAAUGCUUAAUUAAGUUAAAAAAAAGUUAAGGUAUACCUCAUGGCGGAAACAUUUUCCAUAAAUUUUCAGGU
rnacentral:lncRNA from 1 species